rnacentral:rRNA from 1 species
GUGGGGAAUAUUGGGCAAUGGGCGCAAGCCUGACCCAGCAACGCCGCGUGAGGGAAGAAGGUUUUCGGAUUGUAAACCUCUGUCGCAGAUGACGAAGGAAGUGACGGUAAUCUGUGAGGAAGCCCCGGCUAACUACGUGCCAGCAGCCGCGGUAAUACGUAGGGGGCGAGCGUUGUCCGGAAUUACUGGGCGGAAAGGGAGCGUAGGCGGUCGAUUAAGUUGGAUGUGAAAUACCCGGGCUUAACUUGGGGGGUGCAUCCAAUACUGGUUGACUAGAGUACAGGAGAGGAAAGCGGAAUUCCUAGUGUAGCGGUGAAAUGCAUAGAUAUUAGGAGGAACAUCGGUGGCGAAGGCGGCUUUCUGGACUGACACUGACGCUGAGGCUCGAAAGCGUGGGGAGCAAACAGGAUUAGAUACCCCGGUAGUCC